AUAAUGGGUCAGCGACUUAUAUUCUGUAGCAAGGUUAACCGAAUAGGGGAGCCGAAGGGAAACCGAGUCUUAACUGGGCGUUAAGUUGCAGGGUAUAGACCCGAAACCCGGUGAUCUAGCCAUGGGCAGGUUGAAGGUUGGGUAACACUAACUGGAGGACCGAACCGACUAAUGUUGAAAAAUUAGCGGAUGACUUGUGGCUGGGGGUGAAAGGCCAAUCAAACCGGGAGAUAGCUGGUUCUCCCCGAAAGCUAUUUAGGUAGCGCCUCGUGAAUUCAUCUCCGGGGGUAGAGCACUGUUUCGGCAAGGGGGUCAUCCCGACUUACCAACCCGAUGCAAACUGCGAAUACCGGAGAAUGUUAUCACGGGAGACACACGGCGGGUGCUAACGUCCGUCGUGAAGAGGGAAACAACCCAGACCGCCAGCUAAGGUCCCAAAGUCAUGGUUAAGUGGGAAACGAUGUGGGAAGGCCCAGACAGCCAGGAUGUUGGCUUAGAAGCAGCCAUCAUUUAAAGAAAGCGUAAUAGCUCACUGGUCGAGUCGGCCUGCGCGGAAGAUGUAACGGGGCUAAACCAUGCACCGAAGCUGCGGCAGCGACGCUGAUGCGUU
rnacentral:rRNA from 1 species